GGGCCUGUAGCUCAGUGGUAGAGCGGUCGGCUCAUAACCGAUUGGUCGUAGGUUCGAACCCUGCCAGGCCCACCA
rnacentral:tRNA from 1 species